rnacentral:tRNA from 1 species
GAGGGGAGGUAUAACCAACAAGAGCUGCUAACUCCUGCAUCUGAGCAUGAAACCUCAGUCCCCUU